UUGAACUGAAGGCCAGGAGUACUCAAUAUCUUCACGCUGUAUCUGAAAGAGAGUCUUUGCUUCUAGAUAUUAACAAAGCCGAGGACAAAUUGAAAGAAAUCUCUUCCGAAGUUAUGAUUGAAGACUCCUUGAUAACCAGUUUGGCUGCAGAUAUGAAGGAGCUUCAAGCAAGGAUGGACGACUGUAAGACGAGAAUGACU
rnacentral:lncRNA from 1 species